rnacentral:rRNA from 1 species
UACAGAGGUCUCAAGCGUUGUUCGGAUUCAUUGGGCGUAAAGGGUGCGUAGGUGGCGCGCUAAGUCAGGUGUGAAAUUUCGGAGCUUAACUCCGAAACUGCAUUUGAUACUGGCGUGCUUGAGGACUGGAGAGGAGACUGGAAUUCAUGGUGUAGCAGUGAAAUGCGUAGAGAUCAUGAGGAAGACCAGUGGCGAAGGCGGGUCUCUGGACAGUUCCUGACACUGAGGCACGAAGGUCAGGGGAGCAAACGGG